CCUGGCGGCCGUAGCGCGGUGGUCCCACCUGACCCCAUGCCGAACUCAGAAGUGAAACGCCGUAGCGCCGAUGGUAGUGUGGGGACU
rnacentral:rRNA from 1 species